AUUGAACGCUGGCGGCAGGCCUAACACAUGCAAGUCGAGCGGCAGCGGGACCUUCGGGUCGCCGGCGAGCGGCGGACGGGCGAGUAAUGCCUAGGAAUCUGCCUGUUAGUGGGGGAUAACGCGGGGAAACUCGCGCUAAUACCGCAUACGUCCUACGGGAGAAAGUGGGGGACCCCCGGGCCUCACGCUAACAGAUGAGCCUAGGUCGGAUUAGCUAGUUGGUGGGGUAAAGGCCCACCAAGGCGACGAUCCGUAACUGGUCUGAGAGGAUGAUCAGUCACACUGGAACUGAGACACGGUCCAGACUCCUACGGGAGGCAGCAGUGGGGAAUAUUGGACAAUGGGCGAAAGCCUGAUCCAGCCAUGCCGCGUGUGUGAAGAAGGUCUUCGGAUUGUAAAGCACUUUAAGUUGGGAGGAAGGGCGCUCGGUGAAUACCCAAGCGUCUUGACGUUACCGACAGAAUAAGCACCGGCUAACUUCGUGCCAGCCGCCGCAGUAAAAC
rnacentral:rRNA from 1 species